rnacentral:rRNA from 1 species
CCUACGGGAGGCAGCAGUCGAGAAUCAUUCACAAUGGGGGAAACCCUGAUGGUACGACGCCGCGUGGGGGAAUGAAGGUCUUCGGAUUGUAAACCCCUGUCAUGUGGGAGCAAAUUAAAAAGAUAGUACCACAAGAGGAAGAGACGGCUAACUCUGUGCCAGCAGCCGCGGUAAUACAGAGGUCUCAAGCGUUGUUCGGAAUCACUGGGCGUAAAGCGUGCGUAGGCUGUUUCGUAAGUCGUGUGUGAAAGGCGCGGGCUCAACCCGCGGACGGCACAUGAUACUGCGAGACUAGAGUAAGGGAGGGGGAACCGGAAUUCUCGGUGUAGCAGUGAAAUGCGUAGAUAGCGAGAGGAACACUCGUGGCGAAGGCGGGUUCCUGGACAUUAACUGACGCUGAGGCACGAAGGCCAGGGGAGCGAAAGGGAUUAGAUACCCUAGUAGUC